AGCGCAGGCGGGAAGGUAAGUCUAUCUUAAAAGUGCGGGGCUCAACCCCGUGAGGGGAUAGAAACUAUCAUUCUUGAGUGCAGGAGAGGAAAGCGGAGUUCCUAGUGUAGCGGUGAAAUGCGUAGAUAUUAGGAGGAACACCAGUGGCGAAGGCGGCUUUCUGGACUGUAACUGACGCUGAGGCUCGAAAGCCAGGGGAGCGAACG
rnacentral:rRNA from 1 species